AAAGACUGGCUAAAUGUCAUAAAAAGCACCAGAUCCCAUCUGACCUUGGAAGCUAAGCAGGAUCAGCUAUGGUUAGUAUUUGGAUGGGAGGCUACCAAUGAACUCCAGGUGUUGUAGGUU
rnacentral:rRNA from 1 species